GAUCAAGGGUUGCUCUGUGAUUAUAGGAGGUUUUGUGUUUUGCUAGACAAUCUUUAAAGAGAGACUUUUAGAGCCGUUCUGUCGCAUUGGAUGCCAAACUCUACAUGCUCUUAAGCCCCAGUUCCUGUAUUAGGAUCAGCCUAGAUGCAUAGCAGUUAAAAUGAAAACUCAGCCACUCCCCCUUCAAAAAGAUGCUUUUAUUUUUUUUUUUCCCCUGGAAGUCCAGGUUGGAGGAUCUGAAAGAGCCUGAAGCCCAGCUCUGCUUGCCAGGUCAGUGUAAGAGUAAGCCCUGACUGCUCUGAACUUAAGAUCUGCUCUGACAAAGCAGAGGCAUCGUUGGUCUCAUCAGAGCCUCUUCCCAUUUUUCUUGCUAAAUGACAAGCACUGUGAAGAAGGCCUCCUCCCCAUGUGAGGAGCACAGGUGUCCUCACCUGAACUGAGUUGCUUCUGAUCUUGGCCCUUUUGCUCGCAGGGCCCUUGCUUUGUGAGGAACAGCCACUCUUGGCCAGGUUUCUGCUGACCCCAAUGACAAAUUUCAAUGUAAACCUGCCUUUUGCAGGGGUCUGUCUUUGUAACAAGUGCUUUGCUGUGUGCAGGCAGAUAAAAACCCUGUUCGUUCUAUGAUUUCCAUGCUCCCACAGGGACUUCUGGUGCCCCCUUGUCGUAUUUGUGGUCUUUCAGCUGUGUUGUUUUAAAGAAUGUGUUCCAGCAAUAGGUAUAAUGGCAUAGCUAUUUGGCACCAGCAUAACUAAUUUUAGCAGAACAUUGAUUGAGAAAAGGGAUCUGUGAGGCCAUUACACAUGGUUGGAUAAUACAGUCUUCAGAUUUCUCAGAAAAAGCAUCUUUGCUACUUGGCAAUUAUCUCUGGACUUUUUUUUUCCACCUGGUGAAUUUUUGGCUGUGUUGGUCUUCCAGCUGUGAGAUUGAAGAGCAGUGACAGGCUUUGCAGAGAAAUGGUAGGUUAGGUGCGCAAAGGCCCUCUGCAAGAGGGACAGACUUGAGGCCAGGCAUUUUGCUGGGCUUCUCUAUGGGCAUAUGUGAGUAAUGACUUAUGCCCAUUUGUUCUGCAUCACUUUGGUUUUCUUGGUGGUCUGAACUGACUGAGCUCUUUAGAGCAGCAGAGCAGCAGAAGUAAAUGGGGUUUUAGCACCUUUUAUCUCACCUUUUC
rnacentral:lncRNA from 1 species